UACGUAGGUGACAAGCGUUGUCCGGAUUUACUGGGCGUAAAGAGCGCGCAGGCGGUCGUUCAAGUCGAGUGUGAAAGCCCCCGGCUCAACUGGGGAGGGUCAUUCGAUACUGAUCGACUCGAAGGCAGGAGAGGGAAGUGGAAUUCCCGGUGUAGUGGUGAAAUGCGUAGAUAUCGGGAGGAACACCAGUGGCGAAGGCGACUUCCUGGCCUGUUAUUGACGCUGAGGCGCGAAAGCUAGGGGAGCAAACGGG
rnacentral:rRNA from 1 species